GCCCAGAUGGCGGAAUUGGUAGACGCGCUGCGUUCAGGUCGCAGUGACUUAACGGUCGUGGAGGUUCGAGUCCUCUUCUGGGCACCA
rnacentral:tRNA from 1 species